UGAAGUCAUCCCCAUAAGUGGGGGGAUGAUAUAAGUGGGGCAGAAAACAAUUCUGUUAGAAAACUCCAUUACUCAGUAAGUCAGGGCUUCAAACAGCCAUCCAUAAUGGAACAGAAACUUGGAUUCCUUCUGUGCCCUCCUGUGCCCAACAUGUUGUGCUGUGCUUCAUGUGCCAGAGGGACAAUCUGAGUCUGUAAUGUCAGAAGAGUACAUCUGCACAGUAAGAACAGAAUGAAAAUGGUAGAUUCACCAUGCUGAAGGUCAAGGAGACCUUUCUCUUUGCUGUCUGUGUUCAGAAGGACCAGAGGGAUGAAUAACUUCUCAAGGUAGCAGUAAUCUUAUGCUCUCCUUCAUCUAACGUUAUCAAAACCUGUUUAAUCAGGCUGAAGUUACCCUCCUGGCUACCCAGCUUCAGCAAGUGGCGGUUAUGGGUUAGAUGUGAAACUGAGC
rnacentral:lncRNA from 1 species